GAUGAACGCUGGCGGCGUGCCUAAUACAUGCAAGUCGAGCGAAUGACGAGAAGCUUGCUUCUCUGAUUUAGCGGCGGACGGGUGAGUAACACGUGGGCAACCUGCCCUACAGAUCGGGAUAACUCAGGGAAACCUGGGCUAAUACCGGAUAAUCCUUCGAAUCACAUGUUUUGAAGUUGAAAGGCGCUUCGGCGUCACUGUAGGAUGGGCCCGCGGUGCAUUAGCUAGUUGGUGGGGUAACGGCCUACCAAGGCAACGAUGCAUAGCCGACCCGAGAGGGUGAUCGGCCACAUUGGGACUGAGACACGGCCCAAACUCCUACGGGAGGCAGCAGUAGGGAAUCUUCCACAAUGGACGAAAGUCUGAUGGAGCAACGCCGCGUGAGUGAUGAAGGUUUUCGGAUCGUAAAACUCUGUUGUAAGGGAAGAACAAGUACGUUAGGAAAUGAACGUACCUUGACGGUACCUUAUUAGAAAGCCACGGCUAACUACGUGCCAGCCGCCGCCGUAA
rnacentral:rRNA from 1 species